rnacentral:lncRNA from 1 species
GCAUUUUGUAUCUAAGACCUGACUGAAAUGCCUAGGCUUCGGUAGACAACCACUCCAGGAAGUCAGGAAGAGAGCUUGAAUUCAAGGCCUCAGAACUAUGGCCUGGGCUCAUCCCGGGACCAGAAUCACAUGCCUGCUGACCGCUGCAGACCACCGACGCCCAACAAUCAAGAGUGUGCCCCCCCGUAGCUGCCGAGACUGCCGGAUUCCAGAAGAAGGCGCCAUCACCAAUCUUCCUGCAUGCAACCACAUGGUGAUCCUAGAUCGCAAUAAUGUCCAAGCAGCCCUGCAGACUAAUCUCUCUCAGGUUCGAGCUGAGAAUAACGUGUUUAUUGAGCCUAUGUUGAGAGCUGCACAUUCCAGGAUAAGAUCUUCAUUCUGAGAAGCGCUCUGUCAACGGACGUGGGAGAGGGAACGCAAGCCUGAGGCAAGAAAGAAGCCUCAUCCGACGAAUGAGGGAUGAGCUCCAUACAGGAGGUACGGUGUAUCCCUGUGACCAAGCCUCAUACCCAAAGCAGAAUUCGCAGAGGCUGCUGUGAGCUUCCUCUGACAUGUUUGCUUCUUCCGUGGUCAUCUCUCUGUUUUUCUUCUGCUUGCGUCUGCUCCUUCGUUUGUUCUCCAACUGUGGCUGCUUCCUCUUUUCCAGCCCUCCUGGUUGUACUCUUCUUCCUCCGCGGCUGGGUGACUUCUCCUUUGCCGAGCGGUGAUGGAUUAGUAGCAUGAACUGAGCUACUCCGCAGUACUCUCCUCUUCGGUGUAGUGAGUGGCGUCGCCGCCUCCUCAUCUCGAGGUUGUUCCUCCUGUUGUCUUUUCCUGAGAUCGUGAUGACUUCUUCUGCUGUUUUCUUCUUUGCCUUCUUCCUGCUAGGUGGUUGCUCCUUCUUCUCUUGCUUUGGCAAGUAAAACUCACAAGGCUGGAGUUCGUCCUUUUGUGCCAAGAGCAUCGCUUGUAUGUAAGGGAAUACAAGCGUCUUCACCUAAGUUCCUUUCGCCUUCUGAAUGCGCUUCACCUCUUGGAAGAUGUUGUACCUGAGAAACUUUGCAAUGUUGGGGUCUCUCUCCUUCUCGAUCUCGUGAUAGGCGAGUGGCCAGUUUCAUGUAGAACUCCCAGGAUGUUGAUCAGUACUCCGGUGCUCCUCCUUAAGCUCGUACAUCUGGACUCCUGCCUUCGGCAACCUGUAGUGGUAGUGUACUCCUUUUGGAGUGAAUCAGUAGGCAGUAGGGUACCACUACCCGAUAUUUUGAAGUACUACUUCUCGAUCUAAGCUGAGCCCAUUCUCUGUGACUGGGUCAUCGUGGUGGUGUUGACCGCUGGUAUCAUCGCCUUGCACUUUUCCCAAUCGAAAAAGCCUUGUGCCCUCUGAGCUAGCUCCCACAAACCAUGCUUUUUGAGCCACCUCCCUGGGUAUCGUGAGCUGUUCUGGGAUGACCAGAAGCUCGGCCGUCCCCUCUUCUUCGGCGCAGCAAUCGCAUGAGCUCCACAUUGGAAAUAUCCAAAUCCUGGCCCUGAAGCUUGGGCUUCUUCACCCAUCACGAAGAACCCUAAACCUUACCAAAACAAAAAUUUCAAAUCCGAAGCUAAAC